GUGUCAGCAGCCGCGGUAAGACAGAGGGUGCAAACGUUGCUCGGAAUUACUGGGCGUAAAGCGCGUGUAGGCGGGUUUCCAAGUCAGAUGUGAAAUCCCUGGGCUCAACCCAGGAACUGCAUUUGAAACUGGGAGUCUUGAGUAUCGGAGAGGAAAGCGGAAUUCCUGGUGUAGAGGUGAAAUUCGUAGAUAUCAGGAGGAACACCGGUGGCGAAGGCGGCUUUCUGGACGAUAACUGACGCUGAGACGCGAAAGCGUGGGGAGCAAACAGGAUUAGAUACCCUGGUAGUCC
rnacentral:rRNA from 1 species